GAAAUAGAGGUUGACCUAAAUCCAAGAGAAUGUAUCCAUUACUUUGGAGACUGAGAGAAGAGAAUGAAGCUGAGAGCAGAGAGGCAACGUAGUCAAGGAAAUGAUAUGCUGAAACGUGAAGCAAGUUUCCAACGAUUUAGGAAGAACAAAUUUCUGAAUGGGCAAAAGGAGCUGGCAGAAAGAGAUGGCAGAGAAGUGCCUGGAUUUCUGGUGUUCUGUUGAUAAUUGCACAAGUCCUUCUGUUGGGAGUGUUGGAAUAAGUUUUCAGUCUUAUUUAGGCUCUGGCAGAAGAGGCUGGCAAAACUACACAAACUGAAGGAGAAGGAAGAGAUUUUCAGGUAAGAAGAGGUCUCUGAGCUGCUCUCUGAGAUGCUGCAACACCUCAUUAAAGAGGGUGUGAACGGGGGCGUUUCCAUCUGGCCUGUGAAUAUGCAUUUGAGUUGACUGAACAUAACUGCAGAUAUACAGUUGUAAUAAGACAUGCUAAACUUCCAGCAGUAAGUGUUGAUAACCUUUAAGUGUUUGAAUUUGCAGAACAUAUUUGGAGCAGCAGGUAGAGGCUGUAGUGUUUAACCUGCCUUACAGUAGGAAAAACGUCUCCCAUUUUCACUGAGGAAAACCACUAAACGUGAGUGAGACGAGCAAAAAAAUACAGUGGGAAUUCUGAGCAAUGCAGGACCGAAUCUUAAACUAGGGUGAUGGAGGACUGGGCAGUCAGGUGCGCUGAAAUCCCACGUUAACAAAACUGCAUUGCAGUAGUCAGUGAUGCCUGGCUAUUGGAAAGCAACCUAUCGGACGUGCUGCUGUUCUUGCCUGUUUGUAGGGAAUCCCAGCCUACAACUUUACACGCUCUGUUUGUUUCUAUCUGAGAAUAUUAGUGCCCUCUAGUGGGUUAGGUGGCUGCAAAAUUUUGCACUUGGGCUAAAAUAAGUCAGGAACGAACAGAGAAGAGUGAAGGGAGCCUCUUAGUUAAGAAUGAGGAAGAUGCUCGACUGAAGUCUGUCUUAUUUUAUGAGUGCCUUAUGUGCAGAUUCUCACUUCACAGUAUAAAUGUGGAUCUGUAACUAGAUUGCUGUGUUAUUUCUUUGGUCUUGCGGGAAGCAGAUAAGUACUGCAAAGGUGAUGCUGGGCUAGAAAAUCUAAAUGAUCACCCAGAUUGCACCCAAAAGAGAUGGAAGGAGCAUGUGGCAGGCCUAAUCUGAAAAGUGAAAAGGGAGCAGUUAUGCUCCCUUAAGAUCUUCAGCCCUCUCUGAAGACUUCAUUUCAAAGUACUACUGCUUCAUUCCUUAUCGGCCUGGGAGAACCAGAGCAGCUUUGGAAGAGACGGCUGUCUCCUACCUGAGCUUCAAAGUGAUGUGAUGUGUGGAGUUUCUAUCAUAACACCUGAGCCUACUUUAUAAUCCUGUGGCCUGUAAUAUGUAGCCGAAAAUACUGAUUCAGCCUUAAUUCCUGCUCUCCCUUCCUAUGGCAGGAAUCUAGUUUAAUACUAUGAUUCUGAUAAAGAUAGGAAAGGCUCUUGAGUAGGGAAAUAUCCCAUUGUCUCGGAAAGGGAAGGAAUAAUAAACCCACAACACCACUUUGGAAUUAGGUCUGU
rnacentral:lncRNA from 1 species